UAAUUCAAGAUAUGAAACAAAAAAAUCAAAGUUUAUUUUACAUUACAAAUACUAAAAUUCUUAGCAUCUCACGCGGAGAAUCCAGCAUAUUAUCAUGCACAACAAUAAAGAACUACAACAUCUAGCAUAUUAUCAUGCACAACAAUAAACAACUACAACUUUCCCAUAUGAUCACACACACUUUUCUUUUCACUUGUGAUUUUUGCCUCUGAGUUUAACACCAAGCACUUUCUCCAUUUUCCCCAACACAAGUUGAUUAGGCACCGCCUUACCAUUCUCAUACUCUGCAACAACCUGCGUUCGUUCAU
rnacentral:lncRNA from 1 species